CAUCAAGAAGCUAAAUCUCAGCGUUAACCUUUUAAGUUAAAGAUUGGAAGAUUAAAUCUACCCUUGAUGG
rnacentral:tRNA from 1 species